CCCAGAGUGGAGCUCAGCUACAGAGGAAUGCUUCACUGAAAGAAAUGACUGACAGGUCUAUCCCACCCAUGGCGACUCAGUCAUUGUUGUUCAUGGCCGCUGCCCGUUCUUCACGAUCAAGGAGGAGAAUGCUUUGGAGGAAACAGAGCUUUCAUACGUGAAUCAACUAGGAAGCGAGUCAAAAGUACUGCAACUGGAAGUGUGGCAUGGGGCGGGGGUCAUGGCCAGUCUCCUCGCUGGGCUCCUGUAGGACUGGGAACGCCUACUCCUUCACACCUAAUUAUGUUUGCUGGAUUGGGUUAUAGUUCUUCAGUGUGUGAACUCUUGUCAGUUUUAUAUCCGUAGGCCGAGCACAAUGCCCGGAAUACAGAGCAUGCUUAAUAAUGA
rnacentral:sRNA from 1 species